rnacentral:rRNA from 1 species
AGAGUUUGAUCAUGGCUCAGGACGAACGCUGGCGGCGUGCCUAAUACAUGCAAGUCGAGCGAGCGGAACUAACAGAUUUACUUCGGUAAUGACGCUGGGGACGCGAGCGGCGGAUGGGUGAGUAACACGUGGGGAACCUGCCCCAUAGUCUGGGAUACCACUUGGAAACAGGUGCUAAUACCGGAUAAGAAAGCAGAUCACAUGAUCAGCUUAUAAAAGGCGGCGUAAGCUGUCGCUAUGGGAUGGCCCCGCGGUGCAUUAGCUAGUUGGUAAGGUAACGGCUUACCAAGGCGAUGAUGCAUAGCCGAGUUGAGAGACUGAUCGGCCACAUUGGGACUGAGACACGGCCCAAACUCCUACGGGAGGCAGCAGUAGGGAAUCUUCCACAAUGGACGCAAGUCUGAUGGAGCAACGCCGCGUGAGUGAAGAAGGUUUUCGGAUCGUAAAGCUCUGUUGUUGGUGAAGAAGGAUAGAGGUAGUAACUGGCCUUUAUUUGACGGUAAUCAACCAGAAAGUCACGGCUAACUACGUGCCAGCAGCCGCGGUAAUACGUAGGUGGCAAGCGUUGUCCGGAUUUAUUGGGCGUAAAGCGAGCGCAGGCGGAAAAAUAAGUCUGAUGUGAAAGCCCUCGGCUUAACCGAGGAACUGCAUCGGAAACUGUUUUUCUUGAGUGCAGAAGAGGAGAGUGGAACUCCAUGUGUAGCGGUGGAAUGCGUAGAUAUAUGGAAGAACACCAGUGGCGAAGGCGGCUCUCUGGUCUGCAACUGACGCUGAGGCUCGAAAGCAUGGGUAGCGAACAGGAUUAGAUACCCUGGUAGUCC